rnacentral:rRNA from 1 species
CACGUAUUUAGCCGGAGCUUCUUAGUCAGGUACCGUCACUUUCUUCCCUGCUGAUAGGGCUUUAUAUACCGAAAUACUUCUUCACCCACGCGGCGUUGCUGCAUCAGGGUUCCCCCCAUUGUGCAAUAUUCCCCACUGCUGCCUCCCGUAGGAGUCUGGGCCGUGUCUCAGUCCCAAUGUGGCCGUCCACUCUCUCAAGCCGGCUACUGAUCGCUGCCUUGGUAGGCCGUUACCCCGCAACUAGCUAAUCAGACGCGGGCCCAUCCUGUACCACCGGAGUUUUCCCCGCAGCGCCAUGCGGCACCGCGGGCUUAUGCGGUAUUAGCAGCCGUUUCCAGCUGUUGUCCCCCUGGUACAGGGCAGGUUACCCACGCGUUACUCACCCGUCCGCCACUAGGCUGUAUGCCGCUUCCGCCCGAAGCUUCCGCUGCAUACCGCCCCGUUCGACUUGCAUGUGUUAGGCACGCCGCCAGCGUUCAUCCUGAGCCAGGACUCAAACUCUCUACG